UACGGGGGGAGCAAGCGUUGUUCGGAUUUACUGGGCGUAAAGGGCGCGUAGGCGGUCAGCACAAGUCAGUUGUGAAAUCUCCGAGCUUAACUCGGAACGGUCAACUGAUACUGUGCGACUAGAGUGCGGAAGGGGCAACUGGAAUUCUCGGUGUAGCGGUGAAAUGCGUAGAUAUCGAGAGGAACACCUGCGGCGAAGGCGGGUUGCUGGGCCGACACUGACGCUGAUGCGCGAAAGCCAGGGGAGCGAACAGG
rnacentral:rRNA from 1 species